rnacentral:misc_RNA from 1 species
ACAAAUCAUGCGCUGGUCCUUGGGCCGCGUACAUUCACCCAAGCCCUGCGUAAGUGGGGUCCUUGUGGUUCGGGAUUGUGUGUUGUGUGCGUAUGUAUACGCAACGCGCACACACACCCCAAAACAUAGACGCUUGCAUGUUUGACUGUAUCAUUGGCAACAAAAUGGA